rnacentral:rRNA from 1 species
GGUAGCCGGCCUGAGAGGGUGNNCGGCCACANUGGGACUGAGANACGGCCCAGACUCCUACGGNAGGCAGCAGUGGGGAAUAUUGCACAAUGGGCGCAAGCCUGAUGCAGCNACGCCGCGUGNGGGAUGACGGCCUUCGGGUUGUAAACNNCUUUCNCNAGGGACGAAGCGMAAGUGACGGUACCUGNAGAAGAAGCACCGGCUAACUACGUGCCAGCAGCCGCGGUAAUACGUAGGGUGCGAGCGUUGUCCGGAAUUACUGGGCGUAAAGAGCUCGUAGGUGGUUUGUCGCGUCGUUUGUGUAA